GGCUGCGUUGUUAGGGCGAUUGAGCGAGUUAAUGAAGCUAGGCAGGCGGCGCGCAUAAAAGUAUCCCGAUCGGGUCGGCCAGAUCGAGAUCGAUAGAUCUCGCUUGGCGAGCCGCUCGACGUGCACACGCAACGUCGCGGGAAACAUUCCGUUCCUCGAAUGGAACCUGUUGCACCCUCGAGGCGCAAAUUAAAAACCAUCGCGUCGUCGCACGAUGCAUCGUCUAUGCGUGUCACGCGCCUCGGGGAGUCGACGGUUGCCGCGCUCUCUUACGACAUUCUGCUUAAAUUGGUAAAAGUGCAAGUCAGAGUGCCAGCUAGAAAACCGGUGAAUCGACGAACCGGUCGUGGUGGAAGAAGGGAGGCCCGCGCCGUCCGGGUUUUUUUUUUUUACACAAUCGAAACACCACCCACGCACGGAACGCACGAAUGAAUCGAUGAUACUAAUCGCUGGUCGAUUGUCUUCUGGCAAACGAGAAGGAGCGAUAUAUCGGGUGUUUCCAAUUAAGGGAGGAAGAAACGCUUGUUUGAUCAACAAUCGUGUUCGAUCAACACGUCGUUGAACUCGGAAACAUCUGAUCUCUCUUUCGUACACCAGCACCAAUUUCCAAGAUCACCACGAUGAGCCGUCCCGGUGUGUCUAAGAUCCCGGAGUUUGCCAAUUGUCCGAGACCAGUGUUUACAUCGCUGGUAUUAAUAUCAACGGAAUAAUACUCCGGGCGAGCACGUGUUAUCCCUCGAUGACCGACGACCAACGUCACCGCGGGGUACGCGCGUCACGCGCGUAAAUUUCCAGGGAGAUCAACAUCGUUCGCUAUCGAAAACGAAGAUAUACCGCGGAUUACGGCAUAGGGCACACAUACGAGCGAGCAACAAACAACCGCGUUAUCGCAGAUGCGAGAGGCGUCGUCGGAUGUGAGGAAUCAUGAUGCACCAUUACUAAGGUAAUCGUCCGUCGAUCUCGCGUCGAUGACUGGAAGUGAUCUUUUUUCCGUGUGCAAA